rnacentral:rRNA from 1 species
CCUACGGGUGGCAGCAGUGGGGAAUUUUGGACAAUGGGCGCAAGCCUGAUCCAGCUAUUCCGCGUGUGGGAUGACGGCCCUCGGGUUGUAAACCACUUUAGUAGAGAACGAAAAGGAGCUAUCGAAUAAAUAGCUAUGCGGACGGUACUCUAAGAAUAAGCACCGGCUAACUACGUGCCAGCAGCCGGGGUAAUACGUAGGGUGCGAGCGUUAAACGGAAUUACUGGGCGUAAAGGGGGUGCAGGCGGCUUAGUAAGACAGUUGUUAAAUCCCCGGGCUUAAACUGGGAACCGCAUAUGGGACUGCUUGGCUAGAGUGCGUCAGAGGGAGGUGGAAUGCCACGUGUAGCAGUGAAAUGCGUAGAUAUGUGGAAGAACCCCGAUGGCGAAGGCAGCCUCCUGGGACGCAACUGACGCUCAUACACGAAAGCGUGGGGAGCAAACAGGAUUAGAUACCCCGGUAGUC